rnacentral:rRNA from 1 species
AUGGUUGGAGGGCCAACAGAUGAAAAAUGGAGACUCACUGGGUUCUAUGGUGAGACUAGAUGGGAGGACAAACAUCUGUCAUGGGGCUACCUGCGUGGCCUGCAUCAACAGGGGCAGAUCCCAUGGGUGGUUGUAGGAGACUUCAACGAGAUCCUAUACUCGCAUGAGAAAGAAGGCGGAGUGCCUAGGCCAGUCAGUAUGAUGCAAAACUUCAGGGACGCGUUGGUGGACUGCGAACUUGAGGAUAUGGGGUUUACAGGUGAUCAAUUCACAUGACGGAGACGUAGACUACGGGAACGUCUCGACAGAGCAGUGUGUAAUGGACCCUUUCAUGGGUUGUUCCGAGCAGCUAUGGUGACCAACGCGCCGCACACAAAGUCUGACCACCGCCUGGUGAUCCUUGAUCUAGAGGGUGCAGCUGGCAUGGACCAACAAUCAUACGUGAGGCCCAAGCAGUUUGAAGCACGUUGGUUACAGGAGGAGGAGGAGGAGGUCAUGCAGCGUGUAACUGAGGCUUGCAUCUCGGCCUCCCUUGCUCAACGCCCUACAGCGGUACACCAGGACCUCCAUAGGUGGGAUCGAGGAGUUCUGAAAGCUCCUCAUCGACGCUUGAAAGAACUUAAGGAGGAGUUGGAUUUGCUGCGAUUGGGGCCGCUUUCUGAUGAGUCGGCAGAUCGGCAGUGUAGUUUUCUCAUUGAGAUUGAAGAAACGAUGGAGAAGGAAGAAGUUUAUUGGGUCCAACGCAGCAGGGCAAAUUGGUUGAAGUUCGGUGACAGGAAUACACAAUUUUUGAAUAACUUUGCUACUGCUCGUAAGAAAAGAAACUUCAUUCGACGCCUGAUGGAUGAAAAUGGAAACUGGUUAGAGGAUAAUGACUCAAUGAGGAAUAUCAUAGAGGCUUAUUUUAAAAUUUUAUUUACCUCCGAGGUUAAUGUACCACAUGUGGAUGUAUGA